rnacentral:lncRNA from 1 species
AGGGAUGAUGUCAUCGAUAGAUUCAGAGGCUGGCUGUAAACAGCUUCCGAUGCUAACAGGGUUGAGGACAAGGAGGGGACAGAAAAUAGAAAUUGCCAUAUCAUUCUCUUUAGAGUCUUGACCAAGGGCAACCUGUUCCUGACAGGGUCAGCAAAGCUGUGCUUCCUCCUCUGAUGGGUUUGUAAGCCUGGCAGAGAGAAGAAAGCGAGGAGAAGGAAUGCUGGUUCCUCUGCCAGCCAGCUCUGUUUAUGAAAUUCCUGAUUGUCUCCAGAAACGAGAGGAAAGCUAAGUGCUUGGUCAAUCUCUGUCAAGAUGUGUGUGCCCGAGUCUCUCCACUUCCAAAAUGGAAACAGCAAGCAUGGCACAGUUAACAAGUCACUGCACCAACACAAUCUACAGAUGGCAGUUCAAAAGGCAUCAGACCCCAGCUGUAUCUCGGAGUCUGGAUCGGCUGCCAGUAUCAACCUCUGUAAGCAAGUCUCUUAAGGAACUGGCAAGAUGGUACCUGCCAAGUGUGUGAGUGCUAAGGAGAACGGUAUGCAGUGAGAGCUGCUCCUCUCUGAGUUCUGCGAAGAGCUAAGGGAGAUUUUUCCUUUCUGCACUUAUUUCAACCAGAACACAUCAUUUGGGAGCACAUUCCAGCAGCUCAGAAAUUUCACCGGUGCUACUGUUUAAGAGCAGGUUGAUGUUGUGGCAGAUACAAUGAUCAAGGACCUCACAGGAAGGAUUCACAUCCCAGAUAAUGUCUGAGAGGAUUCUGUUGCCCGACCACUGAGGUGGAGGCUGGAUUGGAUGUCCCUGCCGUUCUGGUCCCACCCUAAGCUCCUCUCAUUUUCCUCGGUUUUUCACAGGACCCUAGCUUCCACCAACAGAGAAAGGUUGCUGGGGGUGGAGGGUAAAGCCGAUAAUGAUUGAUUGGCUGGACAGUUUAAAGAUCAAGCUGGGCCUAGUCUCUGUUGGGUGAGGAUUUCAGGAUGGGUUUUUCUCAGUAAUCUAGAGACUAUACCUGUUGUCCUUAUCAAAUCCCUAGGUAUCUCAUCACACAAGGACACCUGAGGUCGUAGGGGAAAAAACACAUUCAUAUAAGCGUUAGGAAGUCUCCCCUUGAUGUUUAUUCCCACCUGGUGUGACUUGGGUGUGACUGGAGGAAAGCAUCAGUUAUACCGUCAUUGAAAAAUAAUUAGAGUCUCAAAUUACACCAGUACCUUAGAUUGCCACGAGGGAACUCCAUCUAAGCUUUGUCACCUCCCAUCUUUAUCCUGUUUGCUAUUUUUACUGGGACAUCUACAGAGAUUAUCAUGUGAUCAUCACUUGAUGCUGAAGCGGAGACUGGUUUAAAUGGUUUAAAGCAGAGACUGGUAGACUUGGGGUGAAGUCCUCAUGCCAGUUCAUGAAAAUUCCUGAUGAAUCAGCACUGACUUUGUAUCGAUCGCUAUAGGAAGACAAUGUGAUCGCUGGAGUGUUGGUUUGACUAGCUCAUGCUGGCUUGAAGAUAGAAACCAGCACUGGAUAUGGUUCCUACAAACCAGUGCUGUGAAGACUAUGGAGUAGGAAAACAAGAGAUAAUCACACAAUCACAAGGGUUAGAAUUUAGAGCCUGAUAUGGCAGCACACACAUUUAAUCUCAGCACUCAGGAGCAACAGGCAGCCUGGUCUCUGUGAGUUCAAGGCCAACCAGAACUAAGUAGUGAACUUUCUCAAAAACCAAACCAAACAACAACAGAGCCAGAACUUACGUUGAAUUUUAUUUGUUUUUGUGUUUUACCCUUGGACUGGGGAUGUAGCCUGGUUGGUACUCGCAGCACGUGCGUGUGGCUCAGUUUUAUCCCCAGUUCUACAUAAACCAGGUGUCUAAUGUCAGUUUUUCUGGAAUGGAGGCAGGAGGAUAAUGCUUUCAAGAUCAAUAAAAUAAAGUAAAAUAAAGAU